rnacentral:rRNA from 1 species
CUGAAUAACUCAGCUGAUCGCACAGUCCUAGCACUGGCGACAUAUCUUUCAAGUGUCUGCCUUAUCAACUGUCGAUGGUAGUUUACAUGACUACCAUGGUUGUAACGGGUAACGGAGAAUAAGGGUUCGACUCCGGAGAGGGAGCCUGAGAAACGGCUACCACAUCCAAGGAAGGCAGCAGGCGCGCAAAUUACCCAAUCUCAGCUCGAGGAGGUAGUGACGAAAAAUAACGAGACGGUUCUCUAUGAGGUCCGUCAUUGGAAUGGGUACAAUUUAAACCCUUUAACGAGGAUCUAUUGGAGGGCAAGUCUGGUGCCAGCAGCCGCGGUAAUUCCAGCUCCAAUAGCGUAUAUUAAAGUUGUUGCGGUUAAAAAG